rnacentral:rRNA from 1 species
GAGUUUGAUCGUGGCUCAGGAUGAACGCUGGCGGCGUGCCUAAUACAUGCAAGUCGAGCGAACAGACGAGGAGCUUGCUCCUCUGACGUUAGCGGCGGACGGGUGAGUAACACGUGGAUAACCUACCUAUAAGACUGGGAUAACUUCGGGAAACCGGAGCUAAUACCGAAUAAUAUAUUGAACCGCAUGGUUCAAUAGUGAAAAACGGUUUUGCUGUCACUUAUAGAUGGAUCCGCGCCGCAUUAGCUAGUUGGUAGGGUAACGGCUUACCAAGGCGACGAUGCGUAGCCGACCUGAGAGGGUGAUCGGCCACACUGGAACUGAGACACGGUCCAGACUCCUACGGGAGGCAGCAGUAGGGAAUCUUCCGCAAUGGGCGAAAGCCUGACGGAGCAACGCCGUGUGAGUGAUGAAGGUCUUCGGAUCGUAAAACUCUGUUAUUAGGGAAGACAAAUGUGUAAGUAACUAUGCACGUCUUGACGGUACCUAAUCAGAAAGCCACGGCUAACUACGUGCCAGCACG